AACCACGGCUGAGGAGCCAUCCCCGUCAGCUCUGGUCCUUCAGGCUCCACAGGAAGAUCUGGACAACACCCCGAGGUCACCAUGGAGAUCCCACAGUGACCUCUGACACCUCCUGUGGUGGCACCUGAGGUCACCAACCCCAACCCAACCGUGGCUGACAGGUGACCCAGCUCAGCUCAUUGUCCUCCAGGCUCCACAGGAAGAUCUGGACAACACCCCGAGGUCACCAUGGACAUCCCUGACACCGUGGGGACCUCGGACACCUCCCUGGUGGUACCAGGUGUACCCCAGGUGUACCCAGGUGUCCCCAGGUGCAUCCAGGUGUCCCCAGGUGUAUCUCAGGUGUCCCCAGGUGUGUCCAGGUGUAUCUCAGGUGUGUCCAGGUGUAUCUCAGGUGUCCCCAGGUGUGUCCAGGUGUGUCCAGGUGUACCUUCUGGCCGAUGGCAGACACCAGGUAGCCGUGACAGUGACACAGGGCUGUCACCGGUCCCUUCUGCUCCUUCUCGUAGAGCACCUUGAACUUGUUCUUGGUGAGCGGCUGUCCCGGCUCCGGAACCACCUCGAUNUGUCAUUGUCACCAUGUCAUUGUCACUGGCAUUGUCACCGUGUCAUUGUCACCAGUAGUGUCACCGUGUCAUUGUCACAGUGUCACUGCCAUCACCAUUGCCGCCGUCGUCUUUGUGUCAUUGUCACCGUCACUGUCAGUAUCACUGUCACCAUCGCACCACUGUCACCGUGUCAUUGUCACCGUCAUGUCAUUGUCAUUGUCACCAUCACUGUCAGUAUCACUGUCACCAUCACACCACUGUCACCGUGUUGUUGUCAUCAUCAUGUCAUUGUCAUUGUCACCGUCACUGUCAUUGUCACCACCACCACCAUUGUCAUUGUCACUGUGUCACUGUCAUUGUCACAUCAUUGUCACAGUGAUGAUGACAACCGUGACAUGUCAUGACAAUGACAAUGACAGUCAUCC
rnacentral:lncRNA from 1 species